rnacentral:rRNA from 1 species
CAACCGAGCGCAACCCCUGCAUUCAGUUGCCAUCGGGUGAAGCCGGGCGACUCUGGAAGGACUGCCAUCGACAAGAUGGAGGAAGGUGGGGACGACGUCAAGUCAUCAUGGCCCUUAUGUCCAGGGCGACACACGUGCUACAAUGGCCGGCACAACGGGAAGCGAGUUCGCGAGGACGAGCGGAUCCCUUAAAGCCGGUCGCAGUUCGGAUUGAAGUCUGCAACUCGACUUCAUGAAACUGGAAUCGCUAGUAAUCGCAGAUCAGCCAAGCUGCGGUGAAUACGUUCCCGGGCCUU